GUGAUCAGUACUGAACACAGUUCCCAUCAUGGAUUUGGGACUGAUCUGGGUUUUCCUUGUUGCUCUUUUAAACGGUGUCCAGUGUGAGAGUCACCUGGUGUAUUCUGGAGGUGGCCUGGUGCAGCCUGGAGGGUCUCUGAAACUCACCUGUGCAGCAUCUGGAUUCACUUUUCCUAGAGACUGGAUGAAAUGGGUCCGCCAGUCUCCAGGAAAGGGGCUUGAGUGGGUUGCAGACAUUAAUGGAGAUAGCAGUGCCUCAAGGUAUGUGCCAUCUGUGAAGGGCCGAUUCACCAUCUCCAGAGACAAUGCCAAGAGCACUCUCUACCUGCAAAUGAAUAAUCUCAAGACUGACGACACAGCUGUGUAUUACUGUGCUAGCUACACAAUGAGAAGGCUUAAGUGUGUCCCCAGACAUAAACCUCAGUGUGAGGCGGCUCAUAGCCACCAGGGAAUGCACUGCAACACAGGCCAUAAAUUGAGUCCAGAAGAUUAUGCAGACUAG